rnacentral:rRNA from 1 species
CCUACGUGUGGCAGCAGUGGGGAAUAUUGGACAAUGGGCGAAAGCCUGAUCCAGCCAUGCCGCGUGUGUGAAGAAGGCCUUCGGGUUGUAAAGCACUUUCAGUGGGGAAGAAAGCCUUGGGGCUAAUACCCUCGAGGAAGGACAUCACCCACAGAAGAAGCACCGGCUAACUCCGUGCCAGCAGCCGCGGUAAUACGGAGGGUGCGAGCGUUAAUCGGAAUUACUGGGCGUAAAGCGCGCGUAGGCGGUCUGAUAAGCCGGUUGUGAAAGCCCCGGGCUCAACCUGGGAACGGCAUCCGGAACUGUCAGGCUAGAGUGCAGGAGAGGAAGGUAGAAUUCCAGGUGUAGCGGUGAAAUGCGUAGAGAUCGGGAGGAAUACCAGUGGCGAAGGCGGCCUCCUGGACUGACACUGACGCUGAGGUGCGAAAGCGUGGGUAGCAAACAGGAUUAGAUACCCCAGUAGUC